rnacentral:rRNA from 1 species
UGGGGAAUAUUGCACAAUGGGGGAAACCCUGAUGCAGCAACGCCGCGUGAAUGAUGACGGCCUUCGGGUUGUAAAGUUCUUUGAUUGGGGACGAAAAUGACGGUACCCAAAAAACAAGCCACGGCUAACUACGUGCCAGCAGCCGCGGUAAUACGUAGGUGGCGAGCGUUGUCCGGAUUUACUGGGCGUAAAGGAUGCGUAGGUGGUAACUUAAGUGGGAUGUGAAAUCCCCGGGCUCAACCCGGGAACUGCAUUCCAAACUGAGUAACUAGAGUGCAGGAGAGGAAAGCGGAAUUCCUAGUGUAGCGGUGAAAUGCGUAGAUAUUAGGAGGAACACCAGUGGCGAAGGCGGCUUUCUGGACUGUAACUGACACUGAGGCAUGAAAGCGUGGGGAGCAAACA